GAUGCUCACCGUUCCGUCGUGUCAUUGGUCAAGUGGAGACUAUCAAGCAAGCCGUUGUGACCACCCUUUGUCGCAAGUCCCGGCGUGGGGAGAUGAGCCAGGACCGCGAAGGGCAAAGGAGACCAAGUUCACCUUUACCACUUGGCUGACCGACAUAUCUAAGGAAUGGUGUGUCGCCCCUCACCUGCGGCGCCCUGAGGUAGGUUCAAGGUCACGGGCAGAGGUCAAAGUUCAAGGCCAUGCCAGGUAUGUGUUUGGGUGGAUGGAGGAGUGGGAAGGUUGUGUGUAGGGG